rnacentral:lncRNA from 1 species
GAGAAGACGUUGCCUUUGAGUGGAACACCGAACAGGAAGCUGCUGUUAAUUAUCUACGCCAGCGACUACGAACGCCUCCAUCGCUUGCUCACUUUCACGAGAGAGCCCCUACAAUGCUUCACACGGAUGCCAGCAAUGUCGGUCUGGGAGCUGUGCUUGUUCAGCAGCAAGAUGGCACGGAAAGAGUAAUCGCCUAUGCAAGCAGAACGCUAACACGCACAGAGGCGAAUUACUCCAC